AUGCCAGACUCCUACGGGAGGCAGCAGUGGGGAAUAUUGCACAAUGGGGGAAACCCUGAUGCAGCGACGCCGCGUGAGUGAAGAAGUAUUUCGGUAUGUAAAGCUCUAUCAGCAGGGAAGAAAAUGACGGUACCUGACUAAGAAGCCCCGGCUAACUACGUGCCAGCAGCCGCGGUAAUACGUAGGGGGCAAGCGUUAUCCGGAUUUACUGGGUGUAAAGGGAGCGUAGACGGCAUGGCAAGUCAGAUGUGAAAGCCCGGGGCACAACCCCGGGACUGCAUUUGAAACUGUCAGGCUGGAGUGCAGGAGAGGUAAGUGGAAUUCCUAGUGUAGCGGUGAAAUGCGUAGAUAUUAGGAGGAACACCAGUGGCGAAGGCGGAUGACUGGACGGCAACUGACGGUGAGGCGCGAAAGCGUGGGGAGCAAACAGGAUUAGAUACCCCAG
rnacentral:rRNA from 1 species